rnacentral:rRNA from 1 species
CCUACGGGAGGCAGCAGUGGGGAAUUGUUCGCAAUGGGCGCAAGCCUGACGACGCAACGCCGCGUGGAGGAUGAAGACCUUCGGGUCGUAAACUCCUUUCGAUCGAGACGAAUGUUUUCCGGGUGAACAAUCCGGAAAAGUGACGGUACCGAGAGAAGAAGCCCCGGCUAACUCUGUGCCAGCAGCCGCGGUAAUACAGGGGGGGCAAGCGUUGUUCGGAAUUACUGGGCGUAAAGGGCUUGUAGGUGGCCAACUAAGUCAGACGUGAAAUCCCUCAGCUUAACUGGGGAACUGCGUCUGAUACUGGAUGGCUUGAGUUUGGGAGAGGGAUGCGGAAUUCCAGGUGUAGCGGUGAAAUGCGUAGAUAUCUGGAGGAACACCGGUGGCGAAGGCGGCAUCCUGGACCAACACUGACACUGAGGAGCGAAAGCCAGGGGAGCAAACGGGGAUUAGAUACCCCCGGUAGUCCUGGCCCUAAACGAUGAAUGCUUGGUGUGGCGGGUAUCGAUCCCUGCCGUGCCGAAGCUAACGCAUUAAGCAUUCCGCCUGGGGAUACGGUCGCAAGGCUGAAACUCAAAGAUAGNGGCGNGAGAGNGCGACGACGACGACGACGGAGGAGG